GUCACAUUCCCCUGCAAUCAAAGCAAAGCCAGUGUCUUUGCACUGAAAUUAAUCACAACCUUUGAAAUGGUCCUUUAUUUCACUCAUCUGUGUGAGCAAUAAUCCCAGAAGAAAAAAUUGUUACUGGAGGACUCAGUACGGUGGGACCUGUCCAUCUCGUGAUGCACAGAACUUUUUUCCAUGCUGCUGUGUGGGCUGGAAGCAGCUGAGGGCUAGGAUGCUCCCUGUGCACUCACACAGCUCCUGGCACGGCACAGCUUCAGUGCUGGCAGCAGACUGGCCAUUGCUACAUUCUAAAUGCCUUUUAAAAAAAAGGCAGAUUCUGCUUAGGUGCCUCGCAGCUCUUCAGAAGUUAACACCAAGGAGCAGCAUUCAGUGCAGCUGUCUUCAAGGAGUUAAUAAAAGGCCCCAUGUAUGGGAAACAGCAGACACUGAGUAGCUGCUCGAGUCCCUCUCGAUCCUCUGGCACGUCCUGCCUCACACUGAGCGAGUGCACUGACCUCUCUCCGGCCUCGGUGGAGUAUUUUUGUGCCAGUGGCUCUGUCAGCUCCUGCCAUCAGCAGUCGGCUCCAGGCUGCAGGGCAGCCGUCAGCAUGCCGCUGACAAGCAGCUCUUGGGGAAGCAUGCUCUCAUCCUGCAAGCCCAGAAGUGCACACAGCUUUACAUUUGUAGUGAUGCUCCUGUGGAUAAAGUUGUAACUGGUUGUAAACAUGUGCAGGAUCAGUGGCUUACCAUGAGCCUGUCCAAACCCUAUACAUGUCAACACUCUGUGCCUGAUGACACCCUCAUUUGCACCAGUAUCUUUUUUCCCCCCUAUAGCACUAGAUUAAACAUUGUUGGCCCAGAGUCACCUGCAUCUGACUAAAUCCAAAACUUCAAGGACUAUUCCCAGACUCUCCUCUCUCAGUUCUGAGAGAGCAACCUCCAUAAUUCAUUAUGAAUCAAUGAAGGAGAGCUGGUAGCAUCCUUCAGCAUAAUUGCCCUUCCUGUCUUGGCUCUGGCCAUUUUGAUGUUACCCUGCAGGACUUCUGCCACAACAGGAGGAUGCAAAUAAGAGCCAUGGAGGAAGCAGUAUCUGCUGGAGAAGGAUGUGAGACAGCCUCAGUCAGAAGGGAAAGAAGAAUGCCAAGGGCAGAGGUGAUCAAGUGAGAAGCACUGGUUUGGACACAGAGGAAGGGCAGGCCCCAUGGGGGAUAGGUACGUGGGUGAAGUGCAGGCUGGGGGCACAGUUCUGGGACAAGGGUCUGCACACAAUCACUGCUGCCAGUGCAGAGGAUAAGAGGGAUAAAACCCUGCAGGGAGGAAGAGAAACACAGCAAGAUCUCGGUGUGGUUCAUUGACAAAAGCAAAAAAACACAUUGUAAGAAGGGGGAUGGCAUUGAUGUGGAGGUGGCAAACAGAGUUCAUCUCAAAGAGCUGCCCCAUUACAACCUUUCCUCUCCCCUCCUUCCCUCACCCAUGACACUGGGCACACCGGAACAAGACAAAAGCCUUCCACACUGUGCUGGACCCUCAUCCAUGCCAUCAUGGUGCUCCUUGCUCACGGACUGCCCCAGACCUUCCCAGCCCUGCACCCCACAAGACAUUGUCCAGCACUCGCUGCUCCUAUCUAUAGCCUUGGUGUGUUGCAGCAAGGGGCGUUUCGCAGAGAUCCGGCACAAAGGGAUGGCUUCUGUUUCAAAAAAGAGAAAAAAAAACAAGAGACAAAUGCAUUAUUUGUUCGAUUCCUGUGCAGUUACUGUUGUAACAGUCAGCAGCUUUGAGGUAUUUUUUUUUGUGAUUUGAUACAUAAACCACAUUUCCUAUGUAGCACU